GCCGCGGUGGUGGAAUGGUAGACACGCAGGUCUCAAAAACCUGUGAGCCUUCAAAGCUCAUGUCGGUUCGACUCCGACUCGCGGUA
rnacentral:tRNA from 2 species